rnacentral:rRNA from 1 species
AGAUUGAACGCUGGCGGAAUGCUUUACACAUGCAAGUCGAACGGCAGCACGGGGGCAACCCUGGUGGCGAGUGGCGAACGGGUGAGUAAUGUAUCGGAACGUGCCCAGUCGUGGGGGAUAACUAUCCGAAAGGAUAGCUAAUACCGCAUACGACCUGAGGGUGAAAGCGGGGGAUCGCAAGACCUCGCGCGAUUGGAGCGGCCGAUAUCAGAUUAGCUAGUUGGUGGGGUAAAAGCCUACCAAGGCGACGAUCUGUAGCUGGUCUGAGAGGACGACCAGCCACACUGGAACUGAGACACGGUCCAGACUCCUACGGGAGGCAGCAGUGGGGAAUUUUGGACAAUGGGCGCAAGCCUGAUCCAGCAAUGCCGCGUGCAGGAUGAAGGCCUUCGGUUGUAAACUGCUUUUGUACGGAACGAACGGUUCUCUCUAAUACAGGGCCAAGUGACGGUACCGUAAGAAUAAGCACCGCUAACUACGUGCCAGCAGCCG